UCGCAGAGACAAGGCAGGAAUUGUAAUUGUAGUUCAUCAUGUGAUGACUUAUGAAAGAGGAAGUUGGUAUGUUUUAGUCACGUAGACUCUGCCCUCUUGCUUAAGGCUGCAGGUCCUUUCAGAAGAGCAUUAUGAUCUUCUUUGCCACUCAAGAGUCAAGGUUACCAGGUUGGCUGCAGGGAUCUCCUGCACAUUCAUACGUGGACAGGCAGGUGGAAGCCGCAGGAAGGGUUGGUGGGGCAGUGGGUUGGGGCUGGUUUUAAGCAGAUUGCUGAAAUACUGGAAUUUGUCUCAAGAACUAAAGAAAACAUUCUACGGGGAACACCUCUGCCGAGAUUAGAUGAAGCAACAGUCCUUUCCAGCUCUAAUUUCUAAGAUUUUUUGAAAAAUAUAAAAAUCAUCCACAGUUUAGGAGCAAAAGGAAAGCCGUUUAUUAUGAUACCAUCAAAAAGCAGGAAUAAGGGAAGUGAUCGGAUGUUUAACCAAAGGGAGCAGUUCUAAGCAAUAGCUCGAUGGGUGGAAGGAAUCUGCUCUCUCCACACUGUAAUUUACAUGGGCUCCCACCUGUGAGCAUUAGACAUCUAAAAUCUGAACCGUCCCGGAGCUUACUCCAGUGGAGAUGCUGUGGUUAACAUACCACAGCGCUGUACUGACAGUCCACAGGGCAAUGUAAAGAAAAAAAAAAAAAAAAGGUUCCUUUCAGAGGACCCUGAGGGAAUUCUGCCCUAAGGACAUGCAGCUGGGGGAGGGUUGCAACGUGUGUGCUGUCCACGAGGUGGUAUUCCUGGAGGCUUGUGAGUUCAUGCACUUCACCCUAUAUUCACAUGUGGAAUCACAGCCUUCAUUCUUCAGAGCGCAGUUUCUAUUAAUAGCGUGAUGUUGCAACCAUACUAGAGCUUCUUAAACUCUGACCCCAGCAUAUUUGGAGGAGGAGGGAAAAAGGCAGCCUGUGUGUCAUUUGGGAUUCUGUGGAUAACAUCCUCAGCUCCUUGUACUUGGACAAAACUGCCAUAAGAUUGAAGAGUGCAUGUGCUACUCAGGGCUUUUCUACUUAAAAAAAAAAAAAAGUUAUAAAUAAGUACUUGAACAGACCUGUUUACAUGAAUACGUCUGUACACGCUAUGGAGAGUUGUGACACAAAUGAACCUUCUGUCAUAGAUAGAAGAGCCUUUCUUCUAAGUAGUGGCAUUUUAUGAGACAGUUCUACUGGUUUUCAAAUUGCAAAUACAGUUUUUUAGAAAUACUUUCCCUCUGUGUGACCUCUCCCUGUAGCUUGCCUCCCCUGUGCACAGAAAGCAUUCGGAUAUUAAGGAGAUUUUUGCAUGUGGGGGAGAUAAACUCUCUGUGGAGGGUCUAAGAAUCAGGCCAAAUAAAAUCACAGGAGCUCUUAAUCACUCACAUAUUAUACACAGAAGCUGUUAGUCACCAGUCUAUGUGUAAACAUAUGUAUAGUUCCCCGUUUAGAGUAAAAAUUGGGGUCUUGAUGUAGGCUAACUACUUACUGUGUCAGAAUUUAAAGCGCUAAGUGAAAAAUACAGACAAAGGAGAGAUUGAGGUCACACACUCGCUCAGUCUGCAAGGAAAUUUGUAGGGGAACUGGAAGGGAUUCAACAGCCAUUUGCUGCCAGAACCCUGCUAUUGACUUUUUGGAAAGAGCAUGAUGAAAUGUACUUUUCUGGAAAAAUGUCUGAAUGUGGGUUUAACGGAUAUUUAAGACACUCACCAAAAUCCUUUAAAAGAUAUCACUGGGAAGAUGCUGACACAAUAGUGAACUAACCUCAAGGAUAAUGUUUGAAAAUAUUAAGAAGGUGAAUUAGCUUACCUACUUAAAAUGUGACUUUCCUGCAUACACGUUCAGUAGUAAGGGGACUGAAAAAAUGAAAGAUGUUACAAUUCUAAAAGGUUAAGGAUAAUAUAAUUGUCUUGUGUUUAUUAUAUGUUUAUUAUACCUUUCAUAUGGACAUUCAAAAAAGAUAUUUCAACCGUGAAUUUUAUUAUCUUGUCAUCCUUUUUCAGAAACAGAAACCUAAGGUAUUGAAAGAUUGAGUGAUUUGCCUACAGUAGAAUUAACGUUUUAUGUACAGAGGAGACACAGAAGGCUCCCUGCAGAAGGAAAAAAGGAAGAAAAACUUAAAAGACUCAUCAUGGGCUGUAAUUUAUUAAUUGGAGUAAGUGUGCAUUAGCACAUCUGCUCCUGUGCCCACAUGGCAAUGCCUCUUUGCCAAGGGGAGUGCAGAAUCAUCGAGACAAUCCAGAUUCACGCUCAGAACUGAGUUGACACAGAGAAGAAGAAAGCCAAACUUGUCUUCAGAACAGACAGCCCGAGUUUGUGCCCUGCCGAAAGACCACCGGUGGACAGAAAUAGAGAAAAAGAUUUCCUAUUGCGACUGCAUAAAUAUAGUGUGUUUACUAAAAAGCUGGUCACAGCUAAAAUGCAAGUACGGAUGAACUUUGAUGGACUUGUUGGCCUGCCUUGUCAGCCCUUCCAGCAAAUUCCUUAGUGAGGAAACCGGUCUGAAAACUUGCCUGGGAACUUCACACAUGGGAACUUCCUAGGGGCUAUCUCUUAGCAUUUCAGAGAUAGUUAGAUUUUGAACAUUUUUCAGAUUGCUUUUAUUCCACUACCUAUCGAUCUGCCUACAUUUGCAUUAACAGAUCAAUUCGUUCUUCUUCACCAUGACUAAGACGUCAUGUCUGCUCACUUUAUCAAUUUAUUGGAGCACCAGGGAAAUGAAGACUUUGCUGUAAACAACCGCCAGAAUCCACGUUUCCCGGACUGCAGUUCUUUCUUUAGCCCACUGGUGGGCUACCUCCUAUUUCUGUUUUCUUCCCAGGUUCUUUUUUUACAUACAUGUAAAUACCCACAUAAGAAGUGAGUGAGGAACCAUAGGUUCUGUUCACACACCCAGCAGAUCACCUGAGGCAGGUCACUUGGACACCCUGGGCCUGGCGUUUUUCUCUACUGGGAGAUGAGACGCUGAACUCGAUGCCAUUUCCACCCAGACCCUUCCCACGGUGCGCAAUUUCAUUGGCAUACAGGGGACUCUGACAAACCCAAGCCCCACAUUCUUCUGACACACGUGGCAUCACUAAACAAUGCAUAGGAGUGACCAGUGAGCGUCUGCCCAUGAUUUGGGGGGCGUGGUGCCAUCGAAAUAAAAGUUGUGAUGUCAUGUGGCUACCAGAUUAUCCCAUCAUCUAACAUUAUGUCUGCUUGGUCUGGGCUCUGAUCCCAAGCUAAGAGUGUCUAAGCCACGGUCUGUACUUAGUUUAAGUUAGCCAGGGCAAAAGCAUCUGUAUCUGUAUCAGCAUUAAUAUGCCCAAUUGAAGUGUCUCAAGGCUUAAUGGAAAAUAUUUAUUUCCACAAGAGACCGCUUUAUUUUAAAUAUAUUUAUAUAUCUUAAUAUAUACAUAUAUAUGGCAAAGAUUAUGUAUAUAUGUAUAUACUUCAUAUAAAAUGGGCAAAGAUUCAAUAUCUAUUGACAGCCCCUUCAGAAGACUCAAGAGGACCUCAGUUGAGUAAAACGAAAAACUGUUCCAUACCCUGACAGGCAUUUGGCUGGAUAGAUCAGCAGGAUGUGGAAACUUGUUUUGAGGGUUUUUUUGGUAUUCUCACCCAGGAUUCCUCUGCUUAAUAGCAGGGCGGCUUCUCUGCUGGCUGUAUACUGAAUUUAUAAAGGAUGUUGGGGGAGAUAAGUUCUAGGAAUCCUUGUGUUUUAAAUUUGUUACCUAUAGUGAAGUAUUACAUUCAUAACGUUC